GAUGAACGCUGGCGGCGUGCUUAACACAUGCAAGUCGAGCGAGAAGUUUUGAAAAGAUUCUUCGGAUGAAAUUUAAAAUGGAAAGCGGCGGACGGGUGAGUAACGCGUAGGCAACCUGCCCCAUACAAAGGGAUAGCAUUUGGAAACGAAUAUUAAUACCUUAUGAAACUUAACUAGUGCAUGCUAGGUAGGUCAAAGAUUUAUCGGUAUGGGAUGGGCCCGCGUCUGAUUAGCUAGUUGGUGAGGUAACGGCUCACCAAGGCGACGAUCAGUAGCCGACCUGAGAGGGUGAACGGCCACAUUGGAACUGAGACACGGUCCAAACUCCUACGGGAGGCAGCAGUGGGGAAUAUUGCACAAUGGGGGAAACCCUGAUGCAGCAACGCCGCGUGAACGAUGAAGGCCUUUGGGUCGUAAAGUUCUGUUCUAGGUGAUGAAAACUGACAGUAACCUAGGAGAAAGCCCCGGCUAACUCCGUGCCAGCAGCCGCGGUAAUACGGAGGGGGCAAGCGUUAUCCGGAAUUAUUGGGCGUAAAGGGUACGUAGGUGGCCUUUUAAGCGUAGGGUAUAAGGCAAUGGCUCAACCAUUGUUCGCCCUAUGAACUGGAAGGCUUGAGUGCAGGAGAGGAAAGCGGAAUUCCUAGUGUAGCGGUGGAAUGCAUAGAUAUUAGGAGGAACAUCAGCGGCGAAGGCGGCUUUCUGGACUGCAACUGACACUGAGGUACGAAAGCGUGGGGAGCAAACAGG
rnacentral:rRNA from 1 species